rnacentral:tRNA from 3 species
GGAUGGUUUCCCGAGUGGCCAAAGGGGACAGACUGUAAAUCUGCUGGCGAUGCCUUCGGUGGUUCGAAUCCACCACCAUCCA